UACGUAGGGUGCGAGCGUUGUCCGGAAUUACUGGGCGUAAAGAGCUCGUAGGUGGUUUGUCGCGUUGUUCGUGAAAACUCACAACUCAAUUGUGGGCGUGCGGGCGAUACGGGGCAUGACUGGAGUUCGGCAGGGGAGACUGGAAUUCCUGGUGUAGCGGUGAAAUGCGCAGAUAUCAGGAGGAACACCGGUGGCGAAGGCGGGUCUCUGGGCCGAUGACUGACGCUGGAGGAGCGAAAGCGUGGGGAGCGAACAGG
rnacentral:rRNA from 1 species